UACGGAGGGUGCAAGCGUUAUCCGGAUUCACUGGGUUUAAAGGGUGCGUAGGUGGGCAGGUAAGUCCGUGGUGAAAUCUCUGAGCUUAACUCAGAAACUGCCGUGGAUACUAUUUGUCUUGAAUGUUGUGGAGGUGAGCGGAAUAUGUCACGUAGCGGUGAAAUGCUUAGAUAUGACAUAGAACACCAAUUGCGAAGGCAGCUCACUACACAAUUAUUGACGCUGAGGCACGAAAGCGUGGGGAUCAAACAGG
rnacentral:rRNA from 1 species